rnacentral:rRNA from 1 species
ACGGGGUGCAGCAGGCGCGAAAACUUUGCAAUAAGCGAAAGCUUGACAGGGCUAUCCCGAGUGCCAUCCGCUGAGGAAGGCUUUUACCCAGUCUAGAACGCUGGGGGAAUAAGGAGAGGGCAAGUCUGGUGUCAGCCGCCGCGGUAAUACCAGCUCUUCGAGUGGUGUGGAUGUUUAUUGGGCCUAAAGCAUCCGUAGCUGGCUAGGUUAGUCUCCUGUUAAAUCCACCGAAUUAAUCGUUGGAUUGCGGGGGAUACUGCUUAGCUAGGGGACGAGAGAGGCAGACGGUAUUUCCGGGGUAGGGGUGAAAUCCUAUAAUCCCGGGAAGACCACCAGUGGCGAAGGCUGUCUGCUAGAACGCGCCCGACGGUGAGGGAUGAAAGCUGGGGGAGCGAACCGGAUUAGAUACCCGGGUAGUCCCAGCUGUAAACGAUGCAGACUAGGUGUUUGGACGGCCACGUGCCGUUCUAGUGCCGCAGGGAAGCUGUUAAGUCUGCCGCCUGGGGAGUACGAUCGCAAGAUUGAAACUAAAGAAUUGGCGGGGGAGCAC